AAUAAACCACUCCCAUGAAGCGAUGGACAACAAGGAUGUAUUUGAUUGUUUCAUUUCUGUGAAACCGAAAGUAAAAUAUCGACUUGAGGAGAUCAACUGAAAAACUGUUUGAUAUUUAUUGUUGAAGUAUCCAGCAGCAAAGACAGAUGAUGGGGAAAGAGAACCAACAUAGACCAUUAACCAUGAGCUAUAGAGACGCCCUUCAAACACAAUCUAACAAAGUAAGGACUUCUGCUAGACCAGCAGCCCCUACUACUGCCCAGAACAGUUACCUGACCAGACUGAGGAGCAGCCUCCAUGACCUGAUGAACCAGCACCCAGAGGGAGUACCCCUUUCCCGUAUGAGUCAGGCCUGCUCUCUCCUCUUGCACCCGGAGGUACUUAAGCCCUAUCCCUCCACCAGGUACCUCUUGGCCUCCCUCCCCACUGUGGUGAGGCUUCAGGGGAUCGGGGUACAGACCCUGGUGCUCCCAGCACUAAGCCAUUGUGGAGGUGGGACGGAUGCUGGUCGUGUUGGUUGUCGCUAGCCUUCUCGACCUAUGCCAAGCAGGGACCAGGCCGUCCGCAAAGAGACUGAUUUCAAGAUUCCAAUCAAAGCCAAGACAACGGAAGAACCUCAAAUGUACACAGCCCAUAACGAUAUCAGGGAAAAGCAUUAGGGAAGUCUACAUACAAGACAAUGGCACGUCUUACAAGACGGGAUACACACAAUCAACACAUUCUUACCAUGAAAGCACACGCCUGUGAAUUACAGAUGUAUGAUUUUUUACAUUUUUAGACUGUGGCAAUACAAUUCAUUCAACUAUUUUAUAUUUAUGAUACAUCAUGGAAAACAAGAUUUCACUGUACAUGUUUGACCAUAGAUACUUUGUGCCCAAUUUUAUUCAUUGUUUGACAGAUUUUAGACAAGUAAACCUAGAACGCUACAUAAACCAAUCACUGUUGUGCAGCGUCAAUUUGAUUAUAUUUUUCUUAGCGUGAUAAGCGACAUACUUUACCAUAUAAUAACAGUUUUCUAAACAUUUGAAUAAAACAUUCUGAAAAACA